AGAGUUUUGAUCCUGGCUCAGAUUGAACGCUGGCGGCAUGCCUUACACAUGCAAGUCGAACGGUAACAGGUUAAGCUGACGAGUGGCGAACGGGUGAGUAAUGUAUCGGAACGUGCCCAGUCUGGGGGAUAACUGCUCGAAAGAGCAGCUAAUACCGCAUACGACCUGAGGGUGAAAGCGGGGGAUCGCAAGACCUCGCGCGAUUGGAGCGGCCGAUAUCAGAUUAGGUAGUUGGUGAGGUAAAGGCUCACCAAGCCGACGAUCUGUAGCUGGUCUGAGAGGACGACCAGCCACACUGGGACUGAGACACGGCCCAGACUCCUACGGGAGGCAGCAGUGGGGAAUUUUGGACAAUGGGCGCAAGCCUGAUCCAGCCAUGCCGCGUGCGGGAAGAAGGCCUUCGGGUUGUAAACCGCUUUUGUCAGGGAAGAAAAGGUUCUGGCUAAUACCCGGGACUCAUGACGGUACCUGAAGAAUAAGCACCGGCUAACUACGUG
rnacentral:rRNA from 1 species